rnacentral:rRNA from 1 species
UGAGGAAUAUUGGUCAAUGGGCGCAAGCCUGAACCAGCCAAGUCGCGUGAGGGAAGACGGUCCUAUGGAUUGUAAACCUCUUUUGUCGGGGAGCAAAGCGCGGUACGAGUACCGCGAAGGAGAGUACCCGAAGAAAAAGCAUCGGCUAACUCCGUGCC